UCCCUCGUAUCUUAGUUGGUAAAGAAUCUGCCUGCAAUGCAGGAGACCUGGGUUUGAUCCCUGUGUCGGGA
rfam:Ovis aries breed Texel chromosome 9, whole genome shotgun sequence.